GCUAGACUCAGCGUCUGGUGCUGGCCAUUCUUCCGCCUCUCCCCACUUCAGCCAUGUGAUGCUAAUGAUCCUCGUAAAAUAUAUCACGUAUUGCUUUGCUUAAUGAUCAUUACGGCGAUAUCGAGGAUGAUUAUGCAAUUCAAGACGUCUCGCUGCAGGGUACAUGCGUAUAACAUAGUUUUUAUUUUUACUUGUCAACGUUUACGAACAGCUGAUUGUUAUAGGAACGAACGUGUAAGUGAUGGUUGGAUUGAUGCUUUUGUUUAUCUCUCUUUGUUUUUUAACAAUAAAUAUGGAUACGUGCACGGUACACAUUUCGUUUUACACGUUCGCGAAUAAAAACAGAAUUUUUACCGUUCAGUAACUACAUACGUACAUCAUGAAACUGAAACAAUCUCAAGAUUUAUAAUAAUUUGCCGACGUUUUUGAAUGCCUCGUAAAUCGCGACGUUUCGUUCGGAUGGCAUUGCCCCAUUUCGAUCAAAUUUUCAACUAUAUAUUUACUCCGUAAUUAGAACGAUGAUCGUUGGCAAUCAAAUUAAAGUACGACACAAGUAUGGCACAUUUUGGGAAUAAUUUUGGUGAAAUUUUAGUCAUUUUCAUCGAGUAAUCAUGUUAUACUUCGUGUAUAAUUAUGCGAAGUUGACACCUAAGGUUUCGCGGAUAAUCGACCUUGCAAGAGUGUUUGGAAUUAAUGCGUCAGAAUUAUAAUUAAUCUAUAAAACAGAUAGAAUGGGAAAUCGUAGCCAUGGGAAACGAAUAGCAAAGGAUUCGGCCAAAACACCUGGACAUUUACGUAAGUUUUUGCUUUCCGAUAUUGUUGAUGACAGACUGGACGAUUUUACGGGCUUUCAGAUCGCCUCGAGUCAAUUCAAAAUGGAAAAACACCAGACACAGAAAACAGCUUACGGAGAUUCCCGCAUCGCCUUGGGCAUUUUUGCAUGUAUUACAUACCUAUGUACAGAUUGAUCGAUCUUUCGAUGGAUAAGUCAAACGCCAGGUGUUAAACUCGAGUCCGCUAGACGGGAAAUUGCCAACUCAAGGACAAGGGCGUGAAAUGCAAGGGCGGCACAUUUAUAUGCGCAACUUGACUUGAACACGACAAAGCGGGAUAAAUCAUCAAAGCAAAGGAUGCAUUCACCGCUCUGCAUCCGAAGCAGAACCGUAGUCGCAUCAUUUGAAUUUCAAUGAUCAAUUAUUGCUAAAACGGUCGGAUGUGAUUGGCAAAAGGUGAAGAAGAAGAAACAUAUGGAUACCAAGUAAUAACCCUAUAUAUUUUUUAUUAUUACAGUUCACGAAAAUGGGUUUUUAUGAUCUGCAAUGCGGCAAUAUUUGAUAUCAGAGUUUGAAUUGAACUAUAUACCUGGACAAUAUGGUCUGGUAUGAUGAACCGAAACAAUUGUAAAAAGGUGUAAUACGCCGCAUUGGACAUCGCGCGUAACGGAGCCUGAUAUCAGAAUUUGAACUCGCAUUUUUGUUUAGUAAAAUCAAAAAUAUAUAUAUGUAUGUACAUGCAUACCUUUAAAUAUAUA
rnacentral:lncRNA from 1 species